GAGUCGGGGAAGCCGCGGUCGCCGCCGGGACCUGCAAAGGAAGUCUAAACCGGAGGUGGGGUUGCUCCGGCAAGACCCUCCGACGCUCAAGUCAGUUCUCUGCCUUAACAAGAAUGGAGUGCUCGAACGGAGAAAUUUGCAGAGUUUUGAGAUAAGAAAUGAGUUUAUAGAAUAACGUAUCUGGGUCUCCUUUUUAUAGGCGGGGGAGGUAAUAGAUCGAUGGCGACGUUUGUAACCGCCAGGUAGUGGGCCGCCCACAGUCAGGAGGAAUUUACUGCGAAGAGUAGUGGAG
rnacentral:lncRNA from 1 species